rnacentral:rRNA from 1 species
GUGGGGAAUCUUCCGCAAUGGACGAAAGUCUGACGGAGCGACGCCGCGUGAGUGAAGAAGGCCUUCGGGUCGUAAAGCUCUGUCAUCAGGGACGAACGGCCGGUGGAGUGGAAAGCCACCGGAUUGACGGUACCUGAGAAGGAAGCCACGGCUAACUACGUGCCAGCAGCCGCGGUAAUACGUAGGUGGCAAGCGUUGUCCGGAAUUAUUGGGCGUAAAGCGCGCGCAGGUGGGAUCUUAAGUCCAUUUUGAAAGUUCGGAGCUCAACUCCGUGAUGGGAUGGAAACUGGGAUUCUUGAGUACCGGAGAGGAAAGUGGAAUUCCAAGUGUAGCGGUGAAAUGCGUAGAGAUUUGGAAGAACACCAGUGGCGAAGGCGACUUUCUGGACGAUGUCUGACGCUGAGGCGCGAAAGCUAGGGGAGCGAACGGGAUUAGAAACCCCGGUAGUCC